rnacentral:rRNA from 1 species
UACGAAGGGGGCUAGCGUUGUUCGGAAUUACUGGGCGUAAAGCGUGCGCAGGCGGCUUCUCAAGUCAGGGGUGAAAGCCCAGAGCUCAACUCUGGAAUUGCCUUUGAGACUGAGUGGCUUGAGUACGAGAGAGGUGAGUGGAAUUCCCAGUGUAGAGGUGAAAUUCGUAGAUAUUGGGAAGAACACCGGUGGCGAAGGCGGCUCACUGGCUCGUAACUGACGCCCAUGCACGACAGCGUGGGGAUCAAACAGG